rnacentral:rRNA from 1 species
AUUGAACGCUGGCGGCAUGCUUACACAUGCAAGUCGGACGGCAGCACAGAGAAGCUUGCUUCUUGGGUGGCGAGUGGCGAACGGGUGAGUAACAUAUCGGAACGUACCGAGUAGUGGGGGAUAACUGGUCGAAAGAUCAGCUAAUACCGCAUACGUCUUGAGAGGGAAAGCAGGGGACCUUCGGGCCUUGCGCUAUUCGAGCGGCCGAUAUCUGAUUAGCUAGUUGGUGGGGUAAAGGCCUACCAAGGCGACGAUCAGUAGCGGGUCUGAGAGGAUGAUCCGCCACGCUGGGACUGAGACACGGCCCAGACUCCUACGGGAGGCAGCAGUGGGGAAUUUUGGACAAUGGGCGCAAGCCUGAUCCAGCCAUGCCGCGUGUCUGAAGAAGGCCUUCGGGUUGUAAAGGACUUUUGUCAGGGAAGAAAAGGCUGUUGCUAAUAUCAGCGGCUGAUGACGGUACCUGAAGAAUAAGCACCGGCUAACUACGUGCCAGCAGCCGCGGUAAUACGUAGGGUGCGAGCGUUAAUCGGAAUUACUGGGCGUAAAGCGAGCGCAGACAGUUACUUAAGCAGGAUGUGGAAUCCCCGGGCUCAACCUGGGAACUGCGUUCUGAACUGGGUGACUAGAGUGUGUCAGAGGGAGGUAGAAUUCCACGUGUAGCAGUGAAAUGCGUAGAGAUGUGGAGGAAUACCGAUGGCGAAGGCAGCCUCCUGGGAUAACACUGACGUUCAUGCUCGAAAGCGUGGGUAGCAAACAGGAUUAGAUACCCUGUAGUCCACGCCCUAAACGAUGUCAAUUAGCUGUUGGGCAACUUGAUUGUUCAGUAGCGUAGCUAACGCGUG